GAAAUAGUCCUGGAGAGACGUCUUUUAACUAUAGCCCGAUCACAGGGUGUCUGUCCGUAGCCCCACUAUGGGGUGUCUGGACUGAGAUCCCAUUGUGAAUUACUGUUCAGAGGUCAUCCAUCCCCACCUGGAGUGGAUCAAAGGCAACAGGGACCAACGGGAAACAGUUGAGCUUUGCCAGCUUGAUAUUGGAUGCUGAACGAGGACACAAUUGGAGAAAUUGGUUAUUUUGCCAAGGC